CAAACUCAUACCUGUAGAGGCAAAUUCAGAGACAGGGCUCAAGGCUUGUGAAAAAAGGACUGGAUAAUGGUAUUUGCAUACCAAGAAGUAGUUGACAGCGACAGAAGACCUUGAGUGAGACAGCAGUGAAGAGAACAACGUGCAUCUCUUUUCCACUCAACCAUGAAAGUGGCAGCGAUUGAGGCAGCGAGACCACCAAGUGCCAAAACAUAGCCGAUAAUUUGAAUU